rnacentral:lncRNA from 10 species
CUUUGCUCCUUAUUCACCUUCCACCAAGAUUGUGAGGCCUCCUUAACCAUGUGGAACUGUCUCUCAUUCCAUGUAAGGAGAAACACCCACAGGUGUGGAGGGGCAACCCACCCCUUCAAUCAGGAACCUCAGAAUGUGACAUUUGUAAAUUGGGUGGUUGCAGAUGUAAUGAAUUAACUUGGCCACAUACUGGAGUAAGGUGGGCCCUUCACACCAUAUGACUGGUAUCCUUAUAAGAAGAAAAGAAGAGACACAGAGGGAAGACAGCCGUGUGCAUCUGGAAUGAUGCAUCUGAAGCCAAGGAAUGCCGCGCAUUGCCGGCCACCACCCAAAACUGGAAAAAGUCAGGAAGGAUUCUUCCCUAGAACCUUCAAAGGCAGCACAGCCCUGCCAACACCUGGAUUCAGACUCUGGCCUCCAGAACUGUGAGAGGAUGAAUUUCUGUUGUUUUCAGCCACCCAAGCUUAGGAAAUGGGUUGCAGCAGACUGGGAAUAAGACAGGCAGCCAGGCAGCCUCCGUGGAAUUCCCAGGCAGCUUGCAGGAGCCACAGUGGGCCCUGGGCUCUGAGAAGGUCUGAGGCCCAGCAGGUGCAGGGGCCUAAAUUAUUUCUCGGCAAGGAGGAAGGAGGCUCAUCCAGAACGUAGAUCCCCUUCCUCCUUCUCACACCUCACAAGGUCACAGCGAGGUGGCUGGGAGGAGAGCCAGUGACUUUUCACUGAGGUGUGUGGGAGACAGCUUGGCCACCCUUGGCCUCUGAAGGGAGGAGGUGGCCUGAAAGAGGGCGGCUUCGGAACUUCCCAGUUCCUGCUUGAUGGCCUGUGUGUAAAGUAUUCCUGUUUAGGUUUCAAAAUCCUCUGAGAAACAUAAUUCUCAGAAAAUCCAGGCACCCAAUCCAGCUCCCUGGCCUUCCCUGAAAUCUGAAGUCAAAGGGGCUGAGCCAGCCUGCCCUGGGUGUCAGGCCUCUGAGCCCAAGCUAAGCCAUCAUAUCACCUGUGACCUGCACGUACACAUCCAGGUGGCUGGUUCCUGCCUUAACUGAUGACAUUCCUCCACAAAAGAAAUGAAAAUGGCCUGUUCCUGCCUUAACUGAUGACAUUGUCUUGUGAAAUUCCUUCUCCUGGCUCAUCCUGGCUCAAAACCUCCCCCACUGAGUACCUUGUGACCCCCACUCUGCCCGCCAGAGAACAACGCCCCUUUGACUGUAAUUUUCCCUUACCUACCCAAAUCCUAUAAAACGGUCCCACCCCAUCUCCCUUCACUGACUCUCUUUCAGACUCAGCCCGCCUGCACCC